rnacentral:rRNA from 1 species
UACGGAGGGAGCUAGCGUUAAUCGGAAUUACUGGGCGUAAAGUGUGCGCAGGCGGCAGAGCAAGUCGAGUGUGAAAGCCCCGGGCUUAACUUGGGAAUUGCGCUCGAAACUACUUUGCUGGAGUGUGGCAGAGGAAGGUGGAAUUCCACGUGUAGCGGUGAAAUGCGUAGAGAUGUGGAGGAACACCAAUGGCGAAGGCAGCCUUCUGGGCCAACACUGACGCUCAUGCACGAAAGCGUGGGGAGCAAACAGG